rnacentral:piRNA from 7 species
AAUUCGUGAAGCGUUCCAUAUUUU